ACCCAAAUCCAAUACAAUUGGGCAUGCGAUUUUGAAAUCCCUCUAGUUAGCGUUGUCCACUCUUACUUUUGUGAUUAGCCCCACUCGAUAGAUUACACAUCACUCAAAAUUCAUGUGUUACUUUGUGGACAAUGUUCGGCUGUAGUGUACCCAAAUGGGCAAAUUAAUCAUGGGUGGCUAACCACAGCUCAGUUUUUUUAUCAACAUUUUACAACUUUUAGGAAUCUGUCCUACUAUUGAAGAUAUGUCACAGCGAUAAUAGCAUGGAUGAGUAAUAAAAGGAACUAAAGCAACUUAUUUAGUCAUCCAGAAGGCAGUCAUUCACUCCACGUCCUCAUCUUCCUUGCUCUCACAUACAAAAACCUCACUCAAGGCACAGCAGAGUACUCUCAGCCACAAUUCACAUUCGCACACAUUAUCCGAAACCUAUAUCACGGCACACUACCAUCAUGAAUGACUGCCACAAACUCGAAAGUCACAUAACCAAACCACUACCUCACCUUCAACUUGAACACCACACCAGCAGGUAGCAACCAACACUCACAGGCAGUUCACUUCACUCGCCCAACUCCGAAAGUGAGAUCCAUUGUUAAAAGCCCACCCAAGUUUCAAGAAGAGUCCAAUAAUCCACACUGAUCCUGGUCCAAAUUCGAAACCCAGAAGCAGGCCCAAACCUAAUUCCCAACUUAAGGAAUGCAUGCAGGCUCAUAGUGGUGCCUAAUUCUGGCUGAAAGUUGGAACAACCUUGGUGAAAAUGGUCAACUAAUUUACUGUUAUUACUUGUCUUAGAUCUGUUUUGUCACUCUCAAAAAUUUGAUUGCUUUAACUUCUAAAUUAUCCAUUGUUUUUCAAAUAAAUAGUUUGCAAGUAUUGAAAGGCCACUACCUCCUUAAAUAUCCCUGCAGUACUAACUACUACGUUCCAUAUAUUAUUUAACUUCUUUUGAGGAGAAUUAUGGUUCGUCUAGACCAUUUGAGUAAUUCAAUCCUGCUUAAAGUCC